AUUGAACGCUGGCGGCAUGCCUUACACAUGCAAGUCGAACGGUAGAGGGGGCAACCCCUCGAGAGUGGCGAACGGGUGAGUAAUGCAUCGGAACGUGCCCAGUCGUGGGGGAUAGCCCGGGGAAACCUGGAUUAAUACCGCAUACGACGUGAGGGUGAAAGCGGGGGACCGAACGGCCUCGCGCGAGUGGAGCGGCCGAUGUCGGAUUAGGUAGUUGGUGGGGUAAAGGCCUACCAAGCCUGCGAUCCGUAGCUGGUCUGAGAGGACGACCAGCCACACUGGGACUGAGACACGGCCCAGACUCCUACGGGAGGCAGCAGUGGGGAAUUUUGGACAAUGGGCGCAAGCCUGAUCCAGCCAUGCCGCGUGCGGGAAGAAGGCCUUCGGGUUGUAAACCGCUUUUGUCAGGGAAGAAAUCCUUUGGACUAAUACUCUGGGGGGAUGACGGUACCUGAAGAAUAAGCACCGGCUAACUACGUGCCAGCCGCCGCCGUAA
rnacentral:rRNA from 1 species